UUCCAGUAGUUUUUAUAUCUGCUCAAUGCGGCAAUUCCUCACAGUAGAUGCGUUGCGCGUGACAUGAACUAUACAAAGUAGACGCAGCAACAAGGUAGCCUAGCAACAAAGCGUCAACAAUGGAUCCCGAGCUGUAUCCCUUUUCACCCUAUCGUGAAAGUCCUUUGAGGACACGUCGAAAAUGCAGGGACAUUGCUGCCACAUUUCCACCAAAGUUGUCUCCAUUAUAUUGCUCCAUUUUCUAUCGUUUACUUUAUUAGCAUUCUUCUUGUUAUUGUUUGCAUUCAUUAUUGCAGUAGUUACUCCUACUCAGCGUAGUGCAGUGAAGUCAGUUGGUAAACACUGCGCGUGAGCUCCAGCUGUUCGCGGGCUUCCCUCACGCAACUGGGGGCGUGGUUCCCUCAUGUCAACAAUGUAUACGUCAUGCGAUUCCCCAAAAAAUUCUGACAUGACAAACUUUUCGUCGUGGGGUUUUCGAACGUCGCAGACGAAAACAUCGCAGAUCGCAAGCAUGUCAGAUUACAAGACCUCGUCUCGUCGCCGACCUGUCAAAAUCGUGUACGAUUCGCAAAUU